rnacentral:misc_RNA from 1 species
UAAAAUUAUUAAUUAUAUUCGCGAAUACACAUGAUCCUGGUAAGAAUUAUUACAAAUAUUAACAAAUAAAAAAUCAAAAUCAAAAUACCCUCUUCAAGAUCUCCUCAAUCCUAUUAAAAUACCAUUAUUACAUUCUCUUCCUCUCACUAGGAGGAAAUACAUAAAAUGUGUAACAGCCUAGUUAUCUAGCCGAAUCAUAUGUAAAUAGGUCUACAAUUACAUUCAGGGGAAAAUUCAAUUUUUGCCUCCAGCACAAAGCUUGGAUAUUUUUUGCUCGAGCCUCUGGAUUUCAGCUGCUGUGCGUGCCCUUUCCUCUUUCUAAAGGGCCAUCGAGACAUACCAUAUUUCCGGCAUAUCUUCUUCACUACAGUGGGACAUAUGUUCAUUAGCCUUGCAGCCUCUUCAAUAGGGAGAUGGAAGUAAGGAUCAAAGUCUUUCAGUGUCAACUUCCCUGUCCUUUCCCUCUGUUGGGCAAGAAUGGAUUUUGAAGAUCUCAGUGGCUCAUUCCCUCCUUCCGUUUG